rnacentral:rRNA from 1 species
GGUGCUGCAUGGCUGUCGUCAGCUCGUGUCGUGAGAUGUUCGUUAAGUCCGCUAACGAGCGCAACCCUCGUCGUGUGUUAUACGUGUCACACGACACUGCCGGGUAUCAAGCCGGAGGAAGGUGGGGAUGAUGUCAAGUCAGCGUGGCCUUUAUAUCCUGGGCUACACACACGCUACAAUGGCAGAUACAAUAGGUUGCGAAACCGCGAGGUGGAGCCAAUCCUCAAAGUCUGUCUCAGUUCAGAUUGUAGGCUGCAACUCGCCUGCAUGAAGUUGGAGUUGCUAGUAAACGCAGGUCAGCUAUACUGCGUUGAAUACGUUCCCGGGGUUU